CAGUCGCCACGGUAAUACGGAGGGAGCUAGCGUUGUUCGGAAUUACUGGGCGUAAAGCGCGCGUAGGCGGACUUUUAAGUCAGGGGUGAAAUCCCGGGGCUCAACCCCGGAACUGCCUUUGAUACUGGAAGUCUUGAGUAUGGUAGAGGUGAGUGGAAUUCCGAGUGUAGAGGUGAAAUUCGUAGAUAUUCGGAGGAACACCAGUGGCGAAGGCGGCUCACUGGACCAUUACUGACGCUGAGGUGCGAAAGCGUGGGGAGCAAACAGGAUUAGAUACCCGCGUAGUCCCUGUCUCUUAUAC
rnacentral:rRNA from 1 species